rnacentral:lncRNA from 1 species
AGGAACUCUCACCACCACCACCCCCAUUCCCCUCCAACCUUUGCUAGAGGAGAGAAGCCAGAGCCUGGAGGCCAAGUCCUUCAAACUCCAUUGCGACUCCUCCCGGCAGGGCGCGGCCUAAAGCCCACGGCGGAACGCUGGACUUAGACCAGGGAUGUCAGCAGGUCUGUCUGUCGGAGCAGAGGCUCUCCGGAAAAGGAAUACAGCUGGCAUCAAUCAGAUCCACAUCCCUGAGAGGACUGCAUCAACUCUUUUGGAAACUGUCUUCCCACCUUGAUGCCCUGCGCUGUGCAGCUUCUGAAAAUGGUGUGUCCUUAUGGCAACCUCUGUAUUUCUGUACACACAGGGAACUUCACCCUGACCAGGAAAAUCAAGGCUCUGAGAACUAGUUUAUUUUCUUGGAACAGAUAUGUUUUUCCCUAGUGCCAUAGAAAACAAUACAUAUAAAUAAAAAGGCAGUGUUUCUGUGGAAAAUAAAAGUACAUAAAUAAAUACUAAAAAAAAAAA